rnacentral:rRNA from 1 species
UACGAAGGGGGCUAGCGUUGCUCGGAAUCACUGGGCGUAAAGGGUGCGUAGGCGGGUCUUUUAAGUCAGGGGUGAAAUCCUGGAGCUCAACUCCAGAACUGCCUUUGAUACUGGAGAUCUUGAGUUCGGGAGAGGUGAGUGGAACUGCGAGUGUAGAGGUGAAAUUCGUAGAUAUUCGCAAGAACACCAGUGGCGAAGGCGGCUCACUGGUCCGAUACUGACGCUGAGGCACGAAAGCGUGGGGAGCAAACAGG